rnacentral:rRNA from 1 species
CUUCGGGUCAUUAGUAGAGCGGCGAACGGGUGAGUAACACGUGGAUAACCUGCCUGGAAGUGGGGGACAACUUGGGGAAACUCGAGCUAAUACCGCAUAAGCCUCUUCUUUCUCGAAAGAAGAUGGAAAGGUGGCUUCGGCUGCCGCUUUCAGAGGGGUCCGCGUCUGAUUAGCUAGUUGGUGGGGUAAUGGCCUACCAAGGCAACGAUCAGUAGCCGGCCUGAGAGGGUGAUCGGCCACACUGGAACUGAGACACGGUCCAGACUCCUACGGGAGGCAGCAGUGGGGAAUAUUGGACAAUGGGCGAAAGCCUGAUCCAGCAACGCCGCGUGGAGGAUGAAAGCCUUCGGGUUGUAAACUCCUGUCAGGUGGGACGAAAAGGGCAUGGUUAAUACCCGUGUCCGCUGACGGUACCACCGGAGGAAGCCCCGGCUAACUCCGUGCCAGCAGCCGCGGUAAUACGGAGGGGGCAAGCGUUAUUCGGAAUUAUUGGGCGUAAAGGGCGCGUAGGCGGCCUGGCAAGUCAGGGGUGAAAUCCCUCGGCUCAACCGAGGAACUGCCUCUGAAACUGCCAGGCUUGAGGCCGGGAGAGGGUAGUGGAAUUCCCAGUGUAGCGGUGAAAUGCGUAGAUAUUGGGAGGAACACCAGUGGCGAAGGCGGCUGCCUGGACCGGUUCUGACGCUGAGGCGCGAAAGCGUGGGGAGCAAACAGGAUUAGAUACCCUGGUAGUCCACGCUGUAAACGAUGAGCACUCGGUGCUGCGGGUGUCGACCCCUGCAGUGCCUUAGGUAA